GUGAAAUUGUUGAAAGGGAAGCGCUUGCAAUCAGACUUGCAUGCAGUUGAUCAUCCGAUGUUCUCACCGGUGCACUCAUCUGCAUUCAGGCCAGCAUCGGUUUUGGUGGUUGGAUAAAGGCCCUGGGAAUGUAGCUUCUUUCGGGGAGUGUUAUAGCCCAAGGUGCAAUGCAGCCUACCAGGACCGAGGACCGCGCUUCGGCUAGGAUGCUGGCGUAAUGGUUGUAAGCGACCCGUCUUGAAACACGGACCAAGGAGUC
rnacentral:rRNA from 1 species